rnacentral:rRNA from 1 species
CGGCGGACGGGUGAGUAAUGCUUGGGAAUAUGCCUUAUGGUGGGGGACAACAGUUGGAAACGACUGCUAAUACCGCAUAACGUCUACGGACCAAAGGGGGGGAUCUUCGGACCUCCCGCCAUUUGAUUAGCCCAAGUGAGAUUAGCUAGUUGGUAAGGUAAUGGCUUACCAAGGCGACGAUCUCUAGCUGGUUUGAGAGGAUGAUCAGCCACACUGGGACUGAGACACGGCCCAG